UUCAUCCAGAGCAGCAGAGGGACUGGCCCAAUGAAGCUGCGGCAACCUGCAAGAGCAAGGUGCCAAUUCCAGCAGGAAGUAUUCCUGAUAGAUGAG
rnacentral:ncRNA from 1 species